CCCUUAGAUGUCCUGGGCUGCACGCGCGCUACACUGGAAGUUACGGAUUGAGAUACUACCUUGUCCGAAAUGGUCCGGGUAAUCACCUAAAAGCUUGUCAUAAUUGGAAUGGAUUAUUGUAACUAGUAAUCCUGAACGAGGAAUUCCUAGUAAGUCCCAGUCAACAGCUGGUACUGAUUACGUCCCUGCCCUUUGUACACACCGCCCGUCGCUACUACUGAUUGGACGUUUAAGCAAGAUUUUUAAACACUGACAGUGUGUAGUUCACGCUAUACUACAGGGAGAAGAAGAAGAUCGAGCUUACUUGUCUAGAGGAAGUAAAAGUCGUAACA
rnacentral:rRNA from 1 species